AGUAUUACGAUGAUCUCAUAUUGUUUCCAAAUAAAACCCACCGUGCCAAAGACUGAGCAGAGAUUUUAUUGCAUAUGAGCAAAGAUAAUAGAUUGGUGUAGUUUAGCACAUAGUGGAUGCCAGAGUUCCUUCAUUCCCAGUAGAUUUCAUUUGGACCCGGCUCAAAACCGAGGAAGCCUCGCGGAGUUGUUUACAUUGAAUACAGGAUAGGGCCGGUGCCAUGGGGCCGUCCUUUUAUUAAUAUACAGUGAGGAUUUCUGUCUAAAUUACUGCUAUACAUUUCAGGUUGCACACUUGCAAAGGGCGGCUAGCGCGGCGGUGAGAAACGUGACACCGGGUAAUGGGAAUGAAAAACGUUAACUUCCAAAAGAUCACCGAAAAGAGUAAAAAAAUACAUUUCAUAAAAAAAAAUCCCUGAGUUCAAUGCAUGCCGCUAAAUUCAGUCUCUGUGAAAUAUGGUGUGCUUAUUAUUUAUUUGUUUAUUUUAUAAGGUCCCCAAGUUCCCUGCUGGGGAGUUCAUUUGUUUUGUAUGCAAAAAAGAAAGGGGGAAAAAAUCCCCAAGUAUAACAAGAGACGAACAGUUAGUGCUGAUUUUCAUUUGCAUAAAUUUUCAUAUAUUUUAGUGAAAAUAAUAGCGGAGCCGAGGAGUGCUCUGCUCAGUUGAGGCAGAGGAAAGAAAAUCUUAGGGAGCACCGACUCGUAGGAAAGGAGAUGGCCAUUAAUAGAUUACAAAUAUACAUGUAAAGCAUUUUUCGACUAUUCUUGGAUAUAAGGAGCACCAGGGUCCCCUCGCCACCCCUCCACCCCCGCCCCUUGGCCCCCAUGCCCCUCACCCUCUAACCCCCUCCUCCAGAGGUAAGGGCCUCAGUGUGUGUUCUCUCCCCUCCUCUACCCACCCCAGCAGCGGACACACAACACAAGCUUCUCCCCGGCUUCCGCUUCCUCCGCGCUGCUGCACCACUGCUGGAGUAUUCACGCUCCAGGCUGUUUUCUUUGAGAGACUAUAAAAAUAUGCAAAUGGCUAUUGUUAAGAGCGAAAAGUAGAGGGUAUUUUUCUCCCCGUACGCCGCUUGUGUUCCUGGUGAGUAUAAUGUGCAGAGAGGGCUGAGGGGUUUCCUUCAGUCUUUAGUCUCUCUCUCACACACACAGACUCACAAAGACAGGGCUGGAGAUGACCAGGUACAGAGGCAGGAUAUUAGAAAUAUUCUCUCAGUAAGCCAUUGUCUCUUUCCAUUGUGGUCAUAUUCGUAAGAGAAUAUGACCACAUCUGUGUAAGAGAGAGAGAGAGAGAGAGAGACAGAGAGAGAGAGAGAGAAAGAGAAAGAGAAAGAGAAAGAGAAAGAGAAAGAGAAAGAGAAAGAGAGAGAGAGAGAGAGAGAGAGAGAGAGAGGUAUUAGGAUGAAAUCCAAGCUACACCACGGGUAGUAGCAGCUAGGAAGUCAGGCCUUUAUAUAAAGUCCCUGAGCAGAGAGAGAGAGAGAGCGAGAGAGAGAGAGAGAGAAGAGAGAGUGAGUGAGAUAGAGAGUGUGAGAGAAGAGAGAGGGAAAGUUAGUAAGGAGGCACAUUUGUAAAGCCCUCACGGUCUCAAGCAGGAAGACUUUUUGAAGUGAUUAUGGAGACAGUUCAGAUCAAAGGAUUUGACAAGUCUGAGUGCUCGCCAAAUACGAGCCGGGCUAAUCACGCUGAAGCCCUCCAUACAAGACACCACUGGUCCCUCCAGCUGCUUUGCAAAUGUAACGUGACACUCAGGGAUAAACAGAUUAUCAGGGGACAUAAGAGAAAAAAAUCCUCUCAUACUAGUAGAAGUCAAAUAGUUUAUUUAAUGAACUUGGAGACUACCAAUGUACUGUAUAUGGUGGUGUGUAAUAAUAAAUCAUUUUCUGUAAAGUC